AGACCAGCUCCCCAGCUGAGAAACAAUUUGUGAAAAGCAAAAGCUUUAAAAAUGAAACUUAAUAAUGACAACAUCGGUGUGCGCAUGAGUGCAUUACCAUAUCAGGCAGCCUGCCUGUUCUCUUGCAAUAUUUAACAAGGUAGUGAAACAAAUGCCAUUGGUGGCACAUGGUUAGUCGUCAAUGUAAACAACAGGUCAAAGACCUGAUAAUCAAUAUCUAAUGUGCACACACUUAGCAGAUGGCAAAAGCAUGUGGCUGCUCUACCUUAAAUUCCACUUCACUGCAGUUGGCAAUCUGUUGCGUUUCAUGUUGUUUCCAUAGAA
rnacentral:lncRNA from 1 species